UCCUGGUUAACCCAGGCAGUCUCGCUAGAGUUCCCAGCAUUACCUGUUGGCAACUAACGAUAAGGGUUGCGCUCGUUGCGGGACUUAACCCAACACCUCACGGCACGAGCUGACGACAGCCAUGCAGCACCUGUGUACCGGCUCCGAAGAGCGUUGAUAUCUCUACCAACUUCCAAUACAUGUCAAGUCUGGGUAAGGUUCUUCGCGUUGCAUCGAAUUAAACCACAUGCUCCACUGCUUGUGCGGGUCCCCGUCAAUUCUUUUGAGUUUCACCCUUGCGAGCGUACUCCCCAGGCGGUAUACUUAUCGCGUUAGCUUCGACACAACUGGGGUUGAGUCCAGUUACAUCAAGUAUACAUAGUUUACGGCAAGGACUAC
rnacentral:misc_RNA from 1 species